AGAAUCAACGCUGGCGGCGUGCCUAACACAUGCAAGUCGAACGCGAAAGUGGAGCAAUCCAUUAGUAGAGUGGCAAACGGGUGAGUAACACGUGGGCGACCUACCUCAGAGUGGGGGAUAACCUUCCGAAAGGAGGGCUAAUACCGCAUGACAUCCCGUGUUUGGAUACACGGAGAUCAAAGCCGGGGAUCGCGAGACCUGGCGCUUGGAGAGGGGCCCGCGUCCGAUUAGCUAGUUGGUGAGGUAACGGCUCACCAAGGCUCCGAUCGGUA
rnacentral:rRNA from 1 species